ACAUCGCCGCCGGCCUGCCCAACCCACCCAAUCCCCUCCGCCCCCACUGAAUCCCGUGGCUCGGCCAAGCCUAGAGGCCGGCGACGAGAACCUCCGCCCGGUGUUGGUACUCGCAAUCCGGAGCGCAUGGAGCUGGGCGUCCUCGUUAGUCCGUCACGCCGCAGGUCACCUCCAACCGCCGCCAUGUCGCCUCUUGGUGACCUGGGCUCCCGGCGCCCCUCCGCCUCCCUCCCUCCUCGCCUAGAUGCACCGCUCGUCGAUGACCUAAUCCACGGCGUCCGCAUUCCAUCACUGUGGAGCUCACCGCGGAAGGCAAGGAGGAGGAUAUGGUGGUAGCCUUGCCACCGGGAUUAAUUGAGGAUAUCCAAUCUAGUGAUUCUGAACAAAUUACUCAUCAGCUUUCAAUGGAUUGAGCUCCCUCUCAAAUUGAUUGCCGGUAUGGGGAAAUACAAAGGAUUUCGGGCCCUUGGGGAUCACCGGCAACGAGCGCCCAACUGUGUUGUAAAAGGGAAAGUCGAUGAGGCAAUUGUUGGUGGAGGUGGACAUCACGUCCACAGCAAGCAGCAAGUAACCAGCCCCACUUCAACCCUCCACGUCCAGAUCAGAGUAACAAAAGUAUCAAAUUCAGAAAUGCGGAGGAUGCUCUAUGAUUAGGAAGUGAACCCUUCGUAUCUGGAGCUAAUAUUUCUUUCUUUUCUUACAUAGUGUUGCUGCCCACAUUACAAACCUAGUAUGGCGGCCAGACGCAACAUUCCCUAUUUGUUCUUUCUACCGAGGAUAGGGAUGAAGACAAUGUUGAUCGUCGGUUCACAUACACUCCAAAAUUCUUGAGGAUCCCGUGGAAGUCAAUUGCCAUAGCGUUGUUCCUUCUCUUCCUGGGGAUCUUGUGUUCUUCCUGUAAUAUCAUGUGUGCAAGGGAUGGGAUGGACGUUUUGGAGAACCUGCAAGACCGUGCAUGUCCCUUGUUGUGAACAAGCUUGGAGAAUUAUUCAGGAUAAUGGCUAGCAAAGCUUUUGGUAACCUAAAGCAUAAUUGUUUUCCAUUCCUUCAUUUCCUGAUUCAUUUUGUUUGGACCUUGUGAUUUCUAGAGACCGGUCUUUCUUCUCUAAAUACAUGUAUAAAUACACAUGUUUAUUUUAAGGAGAUCAGAUUCAUCUUAUCACUGAAUGUGAGCUCGGAUGGGAGAUCUUUGGCAGGCAGUAUACUUGACGGAGCAAAUAAAAAAUAUGGAUUCCUUUCUCACAUUCAAACAUAUACCUCCUACGCCAUGUUGCAAAGCCGGAGAAAUGCAAGUAUGGAAAUGUUGCAAGGAUAUUGCAAUUCCAUCUACCAUGAGUCAAUAUUUUCUAGCACGAUGAACUUUAUCCUACACGGCUUGAUCUUAUUAUAAUUUGGAAUUUACUAAUAGACAAAUAAUUCUAUGUGGUCCUUCUUUUGCACACUAUCCAUUGAUGUAUCUGAAUUAAAUUAUUUAUUUGUAUAGAGCAGAGAAGGUGUUAUAAGAAAUGGCAAGUGAAGGUCUAGAGCCUAAUCUCAAGAUGUAUACUACCUUGAUUAAAGGUUGCUAAAUGCAUCACUUCCAGAUGGAGCAUUGGAAUGUUUCUAAGAGAUGAAACCGGUGCGACUGAAGCCUGAUGAGGCCGCUUAUUAUUGCUUGGUGUCCACUUCUCUUGAAGGAAAAUGUAAUGGAGGGAAGCACAUACAUAUGAAUCUUGUGUGUUUGCAGAGAAAUGUUUAAUAGCCACUUACGAGAGGAUAUAAAUGAUAUAUAAUAAAUUGUUGUAUGCAUUGCAGAAAAUCUAGAGUAUCAAUAUAGUUUCAAUAUAAUACUUAUAAAAA